GACGAACGCUGGCGGCGUGCCUAAUACAUGCAAGUCGAACGCAGGGGGGACGGGUGAGGAACACGUGGGUAACCUCCCAUCAGAGGGGAGAACACUUGGAAACAGGUGCUAAACCGAUACGGGUGGAUGGACCCGCGGUGCAUUAGCUAGUUGGUGAGGUAACGGCUCACCAAGGCCACGAGGCCUAGCCGCCCUGAGAGGGUGAUCGGCCACACUGGGACUGAGACACGGCCCAGCCUCCUACGGGAGGCAGCAGUGGGGAAUAUUCCGCAAUGGACGAAAGUCUGAUCGAGCCAUGCCGCGUGUGUGAAGAAGGUUUUCGGAUCGUAAAGCUCUUUUGUUCGAGAAGCGGUAUCUACCCAGAAAGCCACGGCUAACUCCGUGCCAGCAGCCGCGGUAAUUC
rnacentral:rRNA from 1 species